rnacentral:rRNA from 1 species
UACGUAGGUGGCAAGCGUUGUUCGGAAUUAUUGGGCGUAAAGGGCGCGUAGGCGGUUUGUUAAGUCGGCUGUGAAAGCCCGGGGCUCAACCCCGGAGGGUCAGCCGAUACUGGCAGGCUAGAGUACAGAAGAGGUAACUGGAAUUCCCGGUGUAGCGGUGAAAUGCGCAGAUAUCAGGAGGAACACCGGUGGCGAAGGCGGAUCUCUGGGCCUGUUCUGACGCUGAGGCGCGAAAGCGUGGGGAGCAAACAGG